rnacentral:rRNA from 1 species
UUAAGCGACUAAGCGUACACGGUGGAUGCCCUGGCAGUCAGAGGCGAUGAAGGACGUGCUAAUCUGCGAUAAGCGUCGGUAAGGUGAUAUGAACCGUUAUAACCGGCGAUUUCCGAAUGGGGAAACCCAGUGUGUUUCGACACACUAUCAUUAACUGAAUCCAUAGGUUAAUGAGGCGAACCGGGGGAACUGAAACAUCUAAGUACCCCGAGGAAAAGAAAUCAACCGAGAUUCCCCCAGUAGCGGCGAGCGAACGGGGAGGAGCCCAGAGCCUGAAUCAGUGUGUGUGUUAGUGGAAGCGUCUGGAAAGGCGCGCGAUACAGGGUGACAGCCCCGUACACAAAAAUGCACAUGCUGUGAGCUCGAUGAGUAGGGCGGGACACGUGGUAUCCUGUCUGAAUAUGGGGGGACCAUCCUCCAAGGCUAAAUACUCCUGACUGACCGAUAGUGAACCAGUACCGUGAGGGAAAGGCGAAAAGAACCCCGGACGAGGGGAGUGAAAAAGAACCUGAAACCGUGUACGUACAAGCAGUGGGAGCCUCUUUUAUGGGGUGACUGCGUACCUUUUGUAUAAUGGGUCAGCGACUUAUAUUCUGUAGCAAGGUUAACCGAAUAGGGGAGCCGAAGGGAAACCGAGUCUUAACUGGGCGUUAAGUUGCAGGGUAUAGACCCGAAACCCGGUGAUCUAGCCAUGGGCAGGUUGAAGGUUGGGUAACACUAACUGGAGGACCGAACCGACUAAUGUUGAAAAAUUAGCGGAUGACUUGUGGCUGGGGGUGAAAGGCCAAUCAAACCGGGAGAUAGCUGGUUCUCCCCGAAAGCUAUUUAGGUAGCGCCUCGUGAAUUCAUCUCCGGGGGUAGAGCACUGUUUCGGCAAGGGGGUCAUCCCGACUUACCAACCCGAUGCAAACUGCGAAUACCGGAGAAUGUUAUCACGGGAGACACACGGCGGGUGCUAACGUCCGUCGUGAAGAGGGAAACAACCCAGACCGCCAGCUAAGGUCCCAAAGUCAUGGUUAAGUGGGAAACGAUGUGGGAAGGCCCAGACAGCCAGGAUGUUGGCUUAGAAGCAGCCAUCAUUUAAAGAAAGCGUAAUAGCUCACUGGUCGAGUCGGCCUGCGCGGAAGAUGUAACGGGGCUAAACCAUGCACCGAAGCUGCGGCAGCGACACUGUGUGUUGUUGGGUAGGGGAGCGUUCUGUAAGCCUGUGAAGGUGUACUGUGAGGUAUGCUGGAGGUAUCAGAAGUGCGAAUGCUGACAUAAGUAACGAUAAAGCGGGUGAAAAGCCCGCUCGCCGGAAGACCAAGGGUUCCUGUCCAACGUUAAUCGGGGCAGGGUGAGUCGACCCCUAAGGCGAGGCCGAAAGGCGUAGUCGAUGGGAAACAGGUUAAUAUUCCUGUACUUGGUGUUACUGCGAAGGGGGGACGGAGAAGGCUAUGUUGGCCGGGCGACGGUUGUCCCGGUUUAAGCGUGUAGGCUGGUUUUCCAGGCAAAUCCGGAAAAUCAAGGCUGAGGCGUGAUGACGAGGCACUACGGUGCUGAAGCAACAAAUGCCCUGCUUCCAGGAAAAGCCUCUAAGCAUCAGGUAACAUCAAAUCGUACCCCAAACCGACACAGGUGGUCAGGUAGAGAAUACCAAGGCGCUUGAGAGAACUCGGGUGAAGGAACUAGGCAAAAUGGUGCCGUAACUUCGGGAGAAGGCACGCUGAUAUGUAGGUGAAGUCCCUCGCGGAUGGAGCUGAAAUCAGUCGAAGAUACCAGCUGGCUGCAACUGUUUAUUAAAAACACAGCACUGUGCAAACACGAAAGUGGACGUAUACGGUGUGACGCCUGCCCGGUGCCGGAAGGUUAAUUGAUGGGGUCAGCGCAAGCGAAGCUCUUGAUCGAAGCCCCGGUAAACGGCGGCCGUAACUAUAACGGUCCUAAGGUAGCGAAAUUCCUUGUCGGGUAAGUUCCGACCUGCACGAAUGGCGUAAUGAUGGCCAGGCUGUCUCCACCCGAGACUCAGUGAAAUUGAACUCGCUGUGAAGAUGCAGUGUACCCGCGGCAAGACGGAAAGACCCCGUGAACCUUUACUAUAGCUUGACACUGAACAUUGAGCCUUGAUGUGUAGGAUAGGUGGGAGGCUUUGAAGUGUGGACGCCAGUCUGCAUGGAGCCGACCUUGAAAUACCACCCUUUAAUGUUUGAUGUUCUAACGUGGACCCGUGAUCCGGGUUGCGGACAGUGUCUGGUGGGUAGUUUGACUGGGGCGGUCUCCUCCUAAAGAGUAACGGAGGAGCACGAAGGUUGGCUAAUCCUGGUCGGACAUCAGGAGGUUAGUGCAAUGGCAUAAGCCAGCUUGACUGCGAGCGUGACGGCGCGAGCAGGUGCGAAAGCAGGUCAUAGUGAUCCGGUGGUUCUGAAUGGAAGGGCCAUCGCUCAACGGAUAAAAGGUACUCCGGGGAUAACAGGCUGAUACCGCCCAAGAGUUCAUAUCGACGGCGGUGUUUGGCACCUCGAUGUCGGCUCAUCACAUCCUGGGGCUGAAGUAGGUCCCAAGGGUAUGGCUGUUCGCCAUUUAAAGUGGUACGCGAGCUGGGUUUAGAACGUCGUGAGACAGUUCGGUCCCUAUCUGCCGUGGGCGCUGGAGAACUGAGGGGGGCUGCUCCUAGUACGAGAGGACCGGAGUGGACGCAUCACUGGUGUUCGGGUUGUCAUGCCAAUGGCACUGCCCGGUAGCUAAAUGCGGAAGAGAUAAGUGCUGAAAGCAUCUAAGCACGAAACUUGCCCCGAGAUGAGUUCUCCCUGACCCUUUAAGGGUCCUGAAGGAACGUUGAAGACGACGACGUUGAUAGGCCGGGUGUGUAAGCGCAGCGAUGCGUUGAGCUAACCGGUACUAAUGAACCGUGAGGCUUAACCUU